rnacentral:misc_RNA from 1 species
CCAAGAUUACGGGGCUGGCUUCGGCUGGCCUGUCUGAACCCUUGUCUUUUGCGUACUUACACGUUUCCUCGGUGGGCUUGCCCGCCGUUAGGACUAUUCACAACCAUUUGCAGUUGCAAUCAGCGUCUGAAAAAACAUAAUAGUUA